rnacentral:rRNA from 1 species
AACAGGAUUAGAUACCCUGGUAGUCCACGCUGUAAACGAUGUCGACUUGGAGGUUGUUCCCUUGAGGAGUGGCUUCCGGAGCUAACGCGUUAAGUCGACCGCCUGGGGAGUACGGCCGCAAGGUUAAAACUCAAAUGAAUUGACGGGGGCCCGCACAAGCGGUGGAGCAUGUGGUUUAAUUCGAUGCAACGCGAAGAACCUUACCUACUCUUGACAUCCAGAGAACUUAGCAGAGAUGCUUUGGUGCCUUCGGGAACUCUGAGACAGGUGCUGCAUGGCUGUCGUCAGCUCGUGUUGUGAAAUGUUGGGUUAAGUCCCGCAACGAGCGCAACCCUUAUCCUUUGUUGCCAGCGGUCCGGCCGGGAACUCAAGGGAGACUGCCAGUGAUAAACUGGAGGAAGGUGGGGAUGACGUCAAGUCAUCAUGGCCCUUACGAGUAGGGCUACACACGUGCUACAAUGGCAUAUACAAAGAGAAGCGACCUCGCGAGAGCAAGCGGACCUCAUAAAGUAUGUCGUAGUCCGGAUUGGAGUCUGCAACUCGACUCCAUGAAGUCGGAAUCGCUAGUAAUCGUGGAUCAGAAUGCCACGGUGAAUACGUUCCCGGGCCUUGUACACACCGCCCGUCACACCAUGGGAGUGGGUUGCAAAAGAAGUAGGUAGCUUAACCUUCGGGAGGGCGCUUACCACUUUGUGAUUCAUGACUGGGGUGAAGUCGUAACAAGGUAACC